rnacentral:sRNA from 1 species
AUUGCUUCUCUUAUCAACUGCUACAUCAGAGAUAAUGCCGCUGUUGAUGGCAUUAGUUUACAUUUACAGGAUAUCUGCCCACUUCUAUAUAGCACUGAUGAUGCAAUUUGUUCUAAGGUGGAAAAAAUAAAUAAAUCAGUGUCGCAUGGACUGCCUGCUGCCCAAUAAUGUAUUGACUAGGCAAGAGAAUUACCAGACAAAAGUUCUCUUGCUUAACAUAUUUGGGAGAGGAAUUAAGAAUAGCUAGGAAUCUUUGGUCAAAAACUUUUCUGCCUAAAAUUAAGAAGCAAAUGAGCUUCUCCAGCGUUCCCGACAAGUUCAAAAUAAGACUGAAAAAGAAAGAAUGUUAAGGGAAUCAUUAAAGGAAUAUCAAAAAAUUAGCAAUCAAGUGGACCUUUCCAAUGUUUGUGCUCAGUAUAGACAAGUGAGAUUUUAUGAGGGUGUGGUGGAACUUUCUCUUACGGCUGCAGAGAAAAAAGAUCCUCAAGGUCUUGGGCUUCAUUUCUAUAAACAUGGAGAACCAGAAGAAGACAUAGUUGGACUUCAGGCCUUCCAAGAAAGAUUAAACAGUUACAAAUGCAUUACAGACACACUUCAAGAACUGGUAAAUCAAAGUAAGGCCGCUCCUCAGUCUCCCAGUGUACCCAAAAAACCUGGUCCUCCAGUGUUGUCAUCUGAUCCAAAUAUGCUGAGUAAUGAAGAAGCAGGACAUCACUUUGAACAAAUGCUUAAAUUGUCACAGCGAUCCAAGGAUGAGCUCUUUAGUAUUGCCCUUUAUAAUUGGCUAAUACAAGCCGACCUUGCAGAUAAGCUGCUACAGGUUGCUUCUCCAUUUCUGGAGCCACAUCUAGUCCGAAUGGCCAAAGUUGAUCAAAACAGAGUUCGUUAUAUGGAUUUACUCUGGCGGUAUUACGAGAAGAACAGAAGUUUCAGUAAUGCUGCUCGUGUACUGUCCAGACUGGCUGACAUGCAUAGCACAGAAAUUUCACUUCAGCAGCGACUAGAGUACAUUGCUCGAGCCAUUCUUAGUGCCAAAAGUUCCACUGCCAUUUCAUCAAUAGCUGCCGAUGGUGAAUUUCUUCAUGAAUUAGAAGAAAAAAUGGAGGUUGCUAGGAUCCAACUUCAGAUACAGGAGACACUACAAAGGCAGUAUUCCCAUCAUUCUUCUGUACAGGAUGCAGUUUCUCAGCUGGAUUCUGAGCUGAUGGACAUAACUAAGCUUUAUGGGGAAUUUGCUGACCCAUUUAAACUUGCAGAGUGCAAACUUGCAAUAAUUCAUUGUGCCGGUUAUUCAGACCCUAUAUUGGUGCAGACACUUUGGCAAGAUAUCAUAGAGAAAGAAUUGAGUGACAGUGUGACAUUGAGCUCCUCGGAUAGAAUGCAUGCUCUUAGUCUCAAGAUUGUUCUCCUUGGCAAAAUUUAUGCUGGCACACCACGCUUCUUUCCUUUAGAUUUUAUUGUACAGUUUUUAGAACAGCAGGUUUGUACUUUGAACUGGGAUGUGGGCUUCGUAAUACAGACAAUGAAUGAAAUUGGAGUACCAUUACCUAGACUACUAGAAGUUUAUGAUCAGUUGUUCAAAUCACGGGAUCCAUUCUGGAACAGAAUGAAGAAGCCACUGCACCUUUUGGAUUGUAUACAUGUAUUAUUGACAAGAUAUGUUGAGAAUCCCAGCCAAGUUUUAAAUUGUGAAAGGAGAAGAUUUACAAAUCUCUGCCUGGAUGCUGUUUGUGGUUACCUUGUUGAGCUCCAGUCUAUGAGCUCGUCAGUAGCAGUACAAGCCAUCACUGGGAAUUUUAAAUCUCUUCAAGCUAAAUUAGAACGGCUUCAUUAAUUACUGUGAUAUACUUUCAUCCAUUUUAUGAUCUAUAAAAUAAAAACUCAGCUGGGUCCAGA